rnacentral:sRNA from 1 species
GAAGAGUGUGAAAUACAAGCUAGCACAAAUGUACAUUUUUUCCCCCUGCAUUUUGACUGCAAGUGCAACGGAACCAGCUACCUCCUGCCAUCAUAAAUCCCGUGCUAUGAUGGAGUGCAGUCCUGUGAACUGGUACCAGAGACAAGAGGGCCUCAGAAGGGGUGUGGUAGGAACCUAAGCCAUGAGAUUUUUAUCAGGAACAUCCCUUUUUAACAGAACAGAAUGAAACUUAGAAGAAACUAUAUUUUAAAAAAUAAAUAACAGGCCAGGAGAGAUGGCCCAGUGCUCAAGAGAGCUUGCUGUUCUUGAAGAGUUGAUUUCUGUCACCUGUAUCUAAGUUGGGCUGUUUCUGGACAACUGUCACUUCUAGCAGCUUCCUGUCUAGUUUGACAGCACUGCGUCUCAUCCACCUCAGAACUCCGGAACAUAGCGUGCAACAGGCUGGGACUUAUUGACUCUGACAGUAAUCCACUGUCAAACGUAAAGCCCAUUCGAGCAUGCCUAUGAAAACAGACUCACGGAGAAGCCGCAAGCAAAGGGCCGCCUC